UGCCAGCCGCCGCGGUAAUACAGAGGUCUCAAGCGUUGUUCGGAAUCACUGGGCGUAAAGGGUGCGUAGGUGGCGUGGUAAGCCAGAUGUGAAAGCCCAGAGCUCAACUCUGGAAUUGCAUCCGAUACUGCCAUGCUAGAGAACUGGAGGGGUGUCUAGAAUUCUCGGUGUAGCAGUGAAAUGCGUAGAUAUCGAGAGGAAUACCAAUGGCGAAGGCAGGACACUGGACAGUUUCUGACACUGAGGCACGAAGGCUAGGGUAGCGAACGGGAUUAGAUA
rnacentral:rRNA from 1 species